rnacentral:rRNA from 1 species
CUUUCCGUAGGGGGGACCUGCGGAGGGAUCAUUACACAAAUAUGAAGGCGGGCUGGAACCUCUCGGGGUUACAGCCUUGCUGAAUUAUUCACCCUUGUCUUUUGCGUACUUCUUGUUUCCUUGGUGGGUUCGCCCACCACUAGGACAAACAUAAACCUUUUGUAAUUGCAAUCAGCGUCAGUAACAAAUUAAUAAUUACAACUUUCAACAACGGAUCUCUUGGUUCUGGCAUCGAUGAAGAACGCAGCGAAAUGCGAUAAGUAGUGUGAAUUGCAGAAUUCAGUGAAUCAUCGAAUCUUUGAACGCACAUUGCGCCCUUUGGUAUUCCAAAGGGCAUGCCUGUUCGAGCGUCAUUUGUACCCUCAAGCUUUGCUUGGUGUUGGGCGUCUUGUCUCUAGCUUUGCUGGAGACUCGCCUUAAAGUAAUUGGCAGCCGGCCUACUGGUUUCGGAGCGCAGCACAAGUCGCACUCUCUAUCAGCAAAGGUCUAGCAUCCACUAAGCCUUUUUUUCAACUUUUGACCUCGGAUCAGGUAGGGAUACCCGCUGAACUUAAGCAUAUCAAUAAGCCCGGAGGAA